ACGUAUUACAACGAGUUGACAGGCCACC
rnacentral:piRNA from 1 species